rnacentral:tRNA from 1 species
GCGCGGGUGGCGGAAUUGGCAGACGCGCUAGAUUCAGGUUCUAGUCCUGUCAAAGGGGUGCGGGUUCAACUCCCGCUCCGCGCA